CACUAGGAGAAGUUUUACUCUUAGCAGUACCUGCCCAGUGCAAAGUUGUAAACGGCCGCCCUAGCGUGAGGGUGCCAAGGUAGCGAAAUUCCUUGCCUUUUAAUUGUAGGCCUGCAUGAAUGGAUUGACGAGGGUCAAACUGUCUCUUGCUUUGUAUGACGAAAUUGGACUGAAGGUGAAGAUACCUUCAUGUGAAAGUUAGACAAGAAGACCCCGUGCAGCUUUUAAAAACUUACUUAUUAAGAGUUAUAAGAUUUUUAGGUGGGGCGCCUAGGAAGUAAAACUUAACCUUCUUAUUUGUUAAAAGUAACUGUCUGGUGUAGACCCGGCAAGUCCGAUCAUGGGAGAAGUUACGCCGGGGAUAACAGGCUUAUCCAUUAGUAGAGCUCGUAUUGGCUAAUGGGAUUGGCACCUCGAUGUUGAAUUAAGGAUGAUAACUCUAAGGCGUAGAGGCUUUGGAAGUGGGUCUGUUCGACCUUUAAUACCUU
rnacentral:rRNA from 1 species